AGCGAACGCUGGCGGCAGGCCUAACACAUGCAAGUCGAGCGGCCGUAGCAAUACGGCAGCGGCAGACGGGAGAGUAACACGUGGGAACGCGCCCUUCGGUUCGGGAUAACUCAGGGAAACUUGGGCUAAUACCGGAUACGCCCUUACGGGGAAAGAUUUAUUGCCGAAGGAACGGCCCGCGUCCGAUUAGCUAGUUGGUGAGGUAACGGCUCACCAAGGCGACGAUCGGUAGCUGGUCUGAGAGGAUGACCAGCCUCACUGGGACUGAGAACCGGCCCAGACUCCUACGGAAGGCAGCAGUGGGGAAUAUUGGACAAUGGGCGCAAGCCUGAUCCAGCCAUGCCGCGUGGGUGAUGAAGGCCCUAGGGUUGUAAAGCCCUUUCAGCGGGGAAGAUAAUGACGGUACCCGCAGAAGAAGCCCCGGCUAACUUCGUGCCAGCCGCCGCAGUAA
rnacentral:rRNA from 1 species